UACGAAGGGGGCUAGCGUUGUUCGGAAUUACUGGGCGUAAAGGGCGCGUAGGCGGUCCUGAUCGUCGGAUGUGAAAGGCCUGGGCUCAACCUGGGAACUGCAUCCGAUACGGCGGGACUGGAGUGUGGGAGAGGUUGGUGGAAUUCCCAGUGUAGAGGUGAAAUUCGUAGAUAUUGGGAGGAACACCAGUGGCGAAGGCGGCUCACUGGAUCGGUACUGACGCUGAGGUGCGAAAGCGUGGGGAGCAAACAGGG
rnacentral:rRNA from 1 species